rnacentral:tRNA from 1 species
AUGCAAUAAUAGCUUAAAUUUAGAGCAUUGGUCUUGUAAGCCAAAAGUGAAAAAUAUUUCUUAUUGCUA